UUAAAGCGGUACGCGAGCUGGGUUUAGAACGUCGUGAGACAGUUCGGUCCCUAUCCUCUGUAGCCGAAGGUGAUUUGAGGAAGGCUGUCCCUAGUACGAGAGGACCGGGACGGACGCAGCUCUCGUGUGCCAGUUGUUCUGCCAAGAGCAUGGCUGGUUAGCGACCUGCGGAAAGGAUAACCGCUGAAAGCAUCUAAGUGGGAAGCCUGUUCCAAGAUGAGAUCACCCACCGGGUUAACCGGGUAAGGCCCGUGGCAGAACACCACGUUGAUAGGCCGGAAGUGUACGCAUGGCGACAUGUUUAGCUGACCGGUACUAAUCGGCCGAGGGCUUGGUUCU
rnacentral:rRNA from 1 species